rnacentral:tRNA from 1 species
GCCAGUGUGGCUCAGUUGGUUGAGCGGAUUCUCUUGCAUUGAAAGGUCACAGGUUCAAUUCCUGGUCACGGCA